GGCCUGAUGGUCUAGUAGCAUGAUUCCUCGUUCGGGUCUACUUUUCGCGAGACCACAGAGCACACUCAAGUUCUGGAAAUUCGAGGAGGUCCCGGGUUCAAUUCCCGGUCAGGCCC